rnacentral:rRNA from 1 species
UACAGAGGUCCCAAGCGUUGUUCGGAUUCAUUGGGCGUAAAGGGUGCGUAGGUGGCGCCGUAAGUCGGGUGUGAAAUUUCGGAGCUUAACUCCGAAACUGCAUUCGAUACUGCCGUGCUUGAGGACUGGAGAGGUGACUGGAAUUUACGGUGUAGCGGUGAAAUGCGUAGAUAUCGUAAGGAAGACCAGUGGCGAAGGCGGGUCUCUGGACAGUUCCUGACGCUGAGGCACGAAGGUCAGGGGAGCAAACGGG